rnacentral:rRNA from 1 species
ACGAAGGGGGCUAGCGUUGUUCGGAAUUACUGGGCGUAAAGCGCACGUAGGCGGACCGGAAAGUUGGAGGUGAAAUCCCAGGGCUCAACCUUGGAACUGCCUUCAAAACUAUCGGUCUGGAGUUCGAGAGAGGUGAGUGGAAUUCCCAGUGUAGAGGUGAAAUUCGUAGAUAUUGGGAAGAACACCGGUGGCGAAGGCGGCUCACUGGCUCAUUACUGACGCUCAGGCGCGAUAGCGUGGGGAUCAAACAGGA